UAGGGAAUCUUCGGCAAUGGGGGGAACCCUGACCGAGCAACGCCGCGUGAGUGAAGAAGGUUUUCGGAUCGUAAAGCUCUGUUGUAAGAGAAGAACGGGGGUGAGAGUGGAAAGUUCACACUGUGACGGUAUCUUACCAGAAAGGGACGGCUAACUACGUGCCAGCAGCCGCGGUAAUACGUAGGGCCGGAGCGUUGUCCGGAUUUAUUGGGCGUAAAGCGAGCGCAGGCGGCUGGCAAAGUCUGAAGG
rnacentral:rRNA from 1 species